UCUGUUCCAGUGUGCCUUGUCAGAUCGUCAUUCGUGUUUCACCCAUGGUUCCGUGUGCUUCCCCAUGCUACGUCGUGUCUUACCUGUGAUCGUCUCGGCACCUCCAGACAAAACCGUUCUUGAGAUUUGGGCUCCUGCACGAAGCGCUCCAUCUUGUGCAUGACUGGUGGUUGAGCUGUCUGUGUGCCAUAAUGUAAAGGCCACUAUUCCUGUCAUCCCGGUGAUUUAUUACCCAGCCAGGAGCCCUGCGGCCGGGUCCCCAGGGCCACAGGAGUCGCAUCACAUGGACAACAGCACAAUAUUGCCCCGCUACGCUUCACUGAUGCCAGCUGACACAUGAAUCUGUCUGUUGACACCCUGGCAUUAUGUUGGAAACCUUGCAGGUCAAGUAUCAGAGCAAAGGGUUAAUGUGAAAAUAGAUUAGAACCCAUGAGAGGAAAGUAGGAUUGGAGCCGGGCCUUGUAUGAGGUGCAGGUGAGCUGCAUCGUCACGGUGCACUCGAGUCUCAGCAACACUUGGAUCAGCAUCUGGGAAACAUUUUGUUUUGGAAGAGUUGAAGACUGAAGUGAUGACUCGGCUCUUCUGGCACACGCUGCUGUACAACUCAUUUAAAUUCCUCCUUAAGUUCGGCGAAUGUGUGUGAAGUGCUUCGUCAGGAAGGCACACAGGACUAAUCAGACCAGAGGUCUCUCUGCUGCUCAGUGUUGCACCAACUCUCUGAUCCGUUCUCUGACCGUCUGACACACGAGGAUGUCCUCAGAUACAUAUUGUGCUUCUGUUGUUCCAUCUCCGGCCUGUCACGGCCGUCUGCAUGAUGCAUCCACAGCAGCAGCACUGAACAGAUGCACCAGCUGCAACCUUUUUUGCCGAUUCCAAUUUUAUAAAAGUACAGAACAAUAAUGUUAGUCUAUUUGCAUCUGAUCAAAUACGAAAACGGUUUAAUAAUAAUACAAGAAUGGGAGAAAAUUGCAAAACUUAAAGGAACAUCUGCACUUAUUUUAUAUAAAAAGAUGUAACAACUAAAACAUUUCAAGUUAAUCAAUAAAAUAUAAAAAUUGGAAAAACAAUGGUCUCCUUGUUUCUGAGAGACGAAGCGUCGUGUCCUCAGGGAAACACUAUAAUGAAUAAUCGACCGCUAAUCAAAAGGCUGCUGACAAAGUGUCAGACACAGACCAGUGGGACAAACGUCACUGUUCUCUUUAACUUUUACUGUUAAAUUGACGCCUAAAUAUUAAAGCGAAGGAUUUAGAGCUUCCACCUUUUUAUUUCGGUGAGAAAUACGUUUAUGAAAUAGUGCUGAUCAUGGAGCGCUAGAGGCUCCGGGGAUGUUUUGUCUUUGUUCUAGACAAAACUGACAUGAAAUAUAUUCCAGAUGUUCAUGUUCCCCUAAGGAUGAACCCGACGACUACGACUUUUCCUGUAGCGCCACCUGCAGGCGGACAUCUUGGACUUUUCAACGGAGAUGAAGGAACAGGGAUGUGAACACAAUGAGCUAAAUUGAACCUUUUCUCUCCGAACGCUAACAAUAAAUGACCUCGCAUGUUGAUCUCGUCAACACGUUAAAUGAUUCUUCCACAUUUAGUUUCUCGUACAUAUUGAAUUCUGCUGACACAUUUGAUUCCUGUUUGUUUUGGGGCACUAAAAGAAUGUGAUUUAAACCAUAUGUCCCAUAAUAAGGCUAACGAGAGGCUGUUAAGGGCAACUACAGUAAGCUGCCCCCUCGGCGGAGGCUUGUUAAUGUCACUGUCACGUUGUAGAUGUCUGUGCACGGAGAUCAAGGGCAUGAAGGCUCAGGCACAGAGGGGAGACCAGGAAGGGAGGGUUUCUCAUCAGCACAUCACUCCUGCACCCCCCUCCCUUAAGCGGGAACAUUUCACACGCUGCCUAAUUGCCCUGUGAAUUAUUAACCUUCAUAGAUAGACGACGCAGGCUCGUCUGAUGCUUCUGAAGGUCUUCGGCGAGUCCUUCAGCAGACGUGUACAUAUUUUAUCAUCUACACAGAGACUUCUUGUGUCCGACUGCACAGAUUACACUCUGGCUUCUUGGACAGGACACUUAAACUAAGUCCAGUGCAAAGUCAUGUAAUUAGUGUGUAGGUGUAAUACACUUGCGAAUGGCUUACGUCCAAAACUACAGCAGGAGGACAGGAAGUCAUGCAACAUGUUCAUAUUGGUCCCACUUUCCCCCUUGAGUUGUCUCUCUGUGCGCUGCUCUCCUGCACGGGAAGAAAAUCAGAUUUUAUUUGUUGACUCAAGACUUUUUUUUUAGGCGAUAAUCUCAGAAAACAUUCUCUAUAUUUAAUAAUUCAACACGCUGUAAAUGAAUAAUGAAUCGUCUUCAGUCUCUGUAUAUGACGAUGUAAAUGUCACCCUUUGUGUGCACUUGACUUAUUUGAUGAGUAUGAUGCACCAUCCUGUGUGAGACAUCGACACAGAGACGUCACUGUGUGCUGAGCACUGCAAGUAAUUGGAUUGUUAUUGACCAAUAUUCUGUGUGAAGCUUUCCAUCUGGUGAAGUCUCUGUAACCUUUAAGCAAGGGUCCGGAGGAAGGAUGUGUUUCACCUUUGGACGCUCCUUUUGCCUCUUCUGUUCAGAUCCUGGAGCCCACAGUGAAGCCGGUGUUUGGUUCUCUCAGCUGGAAGCAGGCCAGUCAGGAGUGUCCUUUUAGAAAUGGGCUGCUUCUGUGAUAAAUGUUCUCCCGUCUGAGGAUCAGGACCCUGACACUGUAAUGCUACGGGAUAAGGCUAUACAUAGAGAAAUCCAAACAGGCGCAGACAGUCGCAGCAAGACACGUUCCUACCUCCACCUUCCCAUCGGGGAUGUUUACCUCUUGGAUUGCCUAAUGUAAUUGCAACAUGUAGCAAUUUGUGAGUGGCUAACAGUCCAGGAUCCUGAGAAUUCUGUUCAUACCGAACGCCUCUUCCCAUCGUGGGGCGAGCGAACUCUGCAAAGAGUAGUCCAGAUAUCCUACAAGCGAUGUGGUUUCUUCCUCUGCUAAUGAGAAAGUGUCCAACGUAUUUAUUUGGAGGUCGAGCUCAUGCAGGAAACUUCGUAAAAAUAGAUCCAGGGCGAUAUCGAUGAGCCUGUUGCUGACUUUCCUGCUGCUUCCAGUUUCUAUCGAAUCAUCUGACGCUCAACAAGAAAGAUGAUAAACCUAAAUCCUCCCCAAAAUAUGAUAUAAAUGGGAUUAGAACCGACUCAAACGGACCGUCAUAGUUCUUAUCUCAGGGUGUCGUGUCAGUAUUUGGCAUCAGUUAUCACGGAAGGCUCUUUAAACUCUAAAACCCUUUUUUGCAUCAACAUUAGCGCACAUAUGCAGAUUAUUUAAACACGAGAACCUGCUGAAGAUAAGGCAACGGACUUGUUGCUCUACAGUCUUGGUUAUUACCUUCCCAGUGAAACCGCUGUACUAACCUCACAAUAUUAGCCUAAUUAAGUGGGUUAAAUUAAUAAUUGGAAGACACAACACAGUCAUUUGUGAACACAAAUUAUUUAUUGGACAGAACAAGUUUGAGGGUAUGAAUUAUUCAUUUUUAGGGAGGAAAUGACUCUCAAACUGUGGCCUGCAUGUGUAGUAGACAUUGUGUGGAUUCACGGCUCAUGAUUCUCCACACUUGACAUCUUCAUUGUUAAGUGCUGUAAUAACACGACACUAAACUCACUGAUUGUGCGUCGUGUCGGCUCCACGCUUCCCAACUUAUAGAGCACUUUGCCUCUUAGCAACUUUCCUUACAUUGUAUUUGUAGCUCAAAACACUUUGAAUGCUAGAAAAAUACAUUUUCUUCCUGAGAAUAGAUGGAGCUUAAAUCCUGACAAUGUCUUU